rnacentral:rRNA from 1 species
CCAAUAGCGUAUAUUAAAGUUGUUGCAGUUAAAAAGCUCGUAGUUGAAUUUCGGGAUCAUCAGGCUGGUCGUGCCUCCGGUAUGUACUUGCUUCGGUGGUCCCUCCUUCUUGAAGAACCGUAAUGGCAUUAAUUUGUUGUUGCGGGGAAACAGGACUGUUACUUUGAAAAAAUUAGAGUGUUUAAAGCAGGCAAUCGCUUGAAUACAUUAGCAUGGAAUAAUGAAAUAGGACGUUCGAUCCUAUUUUGUUGGUUUCUAGGAUUGACGUAAUGAUUAAUAGGGAUAGUUGGGGGCAUUAGUAUUCAAUUGUCAGAGGUGAACUUCUUGGAUUUAUUGAAGACUAACUACUGCGAAAGCAUUUGCCAAGGAUGUUUUCAUUAAUCAAGAACGAAAGUUAGGGGAUCGAAGACGAUCAGAUACCGUCGUAGUCUUAACCAUAAACUAUGCCGACUAGGGAUCGGAUGAUGUUAAUUUUUUAAUGACUCAUUCGGCGACUUACG